GACAGAGGAUCGCGUGAUGUGGGCUCUGAGGGACGAAAGAGUUCAGCAGAGGAGGAGGUGGCAGAAGCCAUCCCAGCAGAGGCCAGGGUGGGCACCGAAAGUUUCUGGAUGUCUCUGAAGAUGACACAGGCCAAGUGGUGUGGGCACAGAGGUGCCAAAGGCCUUGAACUCGGAGCCAACUAGGACUUGCUUUACUCAGAACCUUUGGCUGCCCCACCAACUGUAACACUCGACCUCAUUCUGGUGCAAAUUCUCGAUUUUUCCAAACUCCCGCCUGUGACUUCAGACCAUAAUCUUCUAGGACACCAUGGCUGGCUUUAGCUAACUGUCCAGCAACAGACACAAAACCGGGACAAAGUCUGGUCUUGCCUUCCCAACCGCCACAUCUCUCUCCAAAGUCUUCUCACUCAGACAAAUAAGCAGAAUCAGAAGAAAUGAAAUCCCAGACAGCUCCUUCACGGCAUUCUGAAACGGGGGAAAUCCACCAGGUGGACCAGCAGGUACUAGGAAGGCCCUUGAUGGUCAACCGGAAGGAAAGCAUCCCUCACGUGGUCUGCGGGACGUUUCCUGCCACUGGUCCCUGGUGUGUGCAGCUGACACUCUGGACCUUGAGCUUCCUGAACCAUGGAAUAUGCUGCAUUCGUCCUAAAGUCAGGCCUCGGCAUCUACUCAUCAUCAACUGAGCACAUGGGCCCACAGCUGGUCGAGGAAUGAGGCAGAUCCAGGAGACGGCGCUCAUGCUGACCUGGAACUCGGAAGGACUCUAAGCCUCUCUGCCUGGAAUCGGGCUCCACACUUCAGACAGAGUUUAGGUGCUAACAGCGCGAAGGCUCCCGUUCUCACCUUAAACUUGUCGACUUCAGCCUUGGAACACGUGGCGUGGUACGACAGCACCUGGUGCAGAAGAGGACAGAGCGUCAGUGAUUGCCAUGACCGGGCCGUCUCACAGUCUCCUCCCUUGAAAAGGGGCUUUGCUUACAGGCAAAGCCUUGACUUGAGAAUGGAUUUCAAUGUAUAGCAAGAGAUUUCUAUGAAUUGUUUGUGACCCAGACUGAAGGCUGGCUACAUCACACCAUGGAUGCCAAGACUAUGGUCCCUGCGGGCAAUGUGGAUACCUACUAAACCAUUCUGCACUUCCCAACCUCGGAGAAUCUCAGUUGGCCUCUGAAUUGUGACGCAGCAUUUUCCAAAUCCAAAUCCAAUUAGCCUUAUAACUCUGCUUUAGAUGAGACAGCAAUAUCACAACAGGCCAACCUUAUAAGCCAACCAAGAACUUUUGAGAAAUGCUAAUACAGGUCCAAGCAAGCACACAGCAGCGGAGGCAGCGCCCUACAGUGGUUGAACGCCGUCUGUGCACUCCCCAGCUCUGGGAACUUGCUCAGGCUCUUCCCGACUACUUUGUAAAGUGGCAUAAUAGUAACACUAUAAAGACUGCUCGUGUUUAAAAGCAGCCUGCUUUUGAAAAUCAGGGGCUCCACCUGAAAAGCCCAGCCAGUGCCAUUUCCCAUGAUUGUCAACAGGAAAGUUAGACCGCACUGUAACAUGUGUAACGUCCUAAGGCGUAGUUACGGUGCAGCAGAGUUCACAGGUGUGUAUGAAACGAGGAACACCGGGGCAGAAUCUAAGGAUGUUUACAUUUACUGGCAGUAAAUACUUGGUUGCCUACCGUGAACACUUUUCUCACUGACUCCUUUCCCCCUAGCUUUUCCAAUUGCCUUUCACUUUCAGGAGGGCCUCCCAAAAGCUGUGGUGUUGUGAGACAAAUAACAUUUUGUAAGGUUUGCUUAUUAGCAACAAAAUGAGUUUCUCCUGGCGAACGUUCAUUGUAACAGUGUUACCUGGGGUGGGUUUGCAGUUCCCUGAGUUCUUAGGAAAACUGAUGCAAUAGUACAUGUCGACCCAGCACACAAUUAACUUACGUUGAUUGUAUGAAUAGUCGUUCAGUCUACCACAUACAUAUUUGGCUGAAUAUCAUAUAUUAUGAUUUUCAGUGAUUCAAUGGUUUUUCAAUAAAAAUUCUGUUCUUUCAGUUCCGUUUUAUUAAGGUAAACUAAAUUUACUGUUAUCUUAGAUUGUCUUAUGGUGUUUGCAAGUUCUUUUUUGUAUAUUAAGUCUUUAAAACAGACUGUUAACCUAAAAAACCAAAACUGAAACCAAAAACUACAAUUCUAAUCUCCGCCACUAGAUGGUGAUCAACCAGGCUUUUAGCAUGUGGCUAAGGCCUGCUACCGCUUUCCUUAAAUUCAUUCUCCAUUUCUUUUAUUAUUAAAAAAAAAACCAAAAACCUGUCAAUGAUACUAAAUUGCAGCUAUUUGAACCAGUGAAGCAAAUAACUAUAAUGGACCAAGGUUCUCCGCUCACUUAAAAUUAUUUCUUUUUUAUAUUUAAUUGAGGUAUAGGGUUUGUUGUAUAUUUUAGAACCAAGGUCUAUGAUAUAUAUGCAUGCAUAUUCAUAAACAUUGCUUCCCAGUCUAUAGUGUAACAGUAUGCUUUUGUUUACUUGUUUUUAAGAGGAGGGCUAUCUGCACUGCACUGAAUAUUUUUCUGCCUCAGAUUCUCAGCAGCUAAGACUUACAGGUGUGUGCAUUGUGCCUGGUUAUUCUUUUUAAUGAAUUGAAGUUUUCAAUUUUGAUUUAUCAUACUUGUCCAUUUUUAUGAUUAUUGCAUCAUGCAUCUUUUCUAAGAAGUGUUUGCUCACCACUAAAAUUACUGAUGUGUAUGUGUGCACACAUACAACUUGUCUUGUCUUCCUGUCUUCCAGAAAUUUAUUGCUUGUUUUUAUGUCUAUGAUAAAUCAAAACUAAUUUUGUACAUAGGAUAAAGACAGAGACUUAAGGAAAUAAA